AUUGAACGCUGGCGGCAGGCUUAACACAUGCAAGUCGAGCGGGGAUAGGGUGCUUGCACCUGAUUCCUAGCGGCGGACGGGUGAGUAAUGCUUAGGAAUCUGCCUAUUAGUGGGGGACAACGUUCCGAAAGGGACGCUAAUACCGCAUACGUCCUACGGGAGAAAGCAGGGGAUCUUCGGACCUUGCGCUAAUAGAUGAGCCUAAGUCGGAUUAGCUAGUUGGUGGGGUAAAGGCCUACCAAGGCGACGAUCUGUAGCGGGUCUGAGAGGAUGAUCCGCCACACUGGGACUGAGACACGGCCCAGACUCCUACGGGAGGCAGCAGUGGGGAAUAUUGGACAAUGGGGGGAACCCUGAUCCAGCCAUGCCGCGUGUGUGAAGAAGGCCUUUUGGUUGUAAAGCACUUUAAGCGAGGAGGAGGCUUACCUGGUUAAUACCUGGGAUAAGUGGACGUUACUCGCAGAAUAAGCACCGGCUAACUCUGUGCCAGCCGCCGCGGUAAUAC
rnacentral:rRNA from 1 species